ACGAACGCUGGCGGCAGGCCUAACCCAUGCCAGUCGAGCGAGACCUUCGGGUCUAGCGGCGGACGGGUGAGUCACGCGUGGGAACGUGCCCUUUUCUACGGAAUAGCCUCGGGAAACUGAGCGUAAUACCGUAUACGCCCUUUGGGGGAAAGAUUUAUCGGAGAAGGAUCGGCCCGCGUUGGAUUAGGUAGUUGGUGGGGUAAUGGCCUACCAAGCCUACGAUCCAUAGCUGGUUUGAGAGGAUGAUCAGCCACACUGGGACUGAGACACGGCCCAGACUCCUACGGGAGGCAGCAGUGGGGAAUCUUAGACAAUGGGGGCAACCCUGAUCUAGCCAUGCCGCGUGAGUGAUGAAGGCCUUAGGGUUGUAAAGCUCUUUCAGCUGGGAAGAUAAUGACGGUACCAGCAGAAGAAGCCCCGGCUAACUCCGUG
rnacentral:rRNA from 1 species